CCCCAACCUGCUGGGCGCGGCUCCCGGGAAGACGGUCCACGGCAUGCAGGCUCACAUCAGCGAGACGGGCUUCAACCUGGCCGUGACCGGACACAACACCUUCAAUCUCCCCGACCAGACCAGACAUCUGAUCGACACUUUGAGAGGUUAUGAGGGCCUGAACUUUGAGGAGGACUGGAAGCUUUUGACCAUCCUCAUGGGGAUGAACGACAUCUGUGAUUACUGCAAGGAUAAGG